rnacentral:sRNA from 1 species
AUAAAGAAAAAUAGUCUAAAUAUCGUAGAAUAUGUACAAAAUAUUGGAAUAGAAAUUCUAAACCAAGUAGAUCACUAGAAAUCGUUAUCUAAGAAAUUUAGACAAAACUUUAUCUAUAAAAAAUCAACUUUUUUCAACUAA